CCUACGGGAGGCAGCAGUGGGGGAUAUUGCACAAUGGGGGGAACCCUGAUGCAGCGACGCCGCGUGGGUGAAGAAGGGCCUCGGCGCGGAAAGCCCCGUUAGCAGGGAAGAAAAUGACGGUACCUGAAGAAGAAGCCCCGGCUAACUACGUGCCAGCAGCCGCGGUAAUACGGAGGGGGCAAGCGUUAUCCGGAUUUACUGGGUGUAAAGGGGGCCGAGGCGGCGAUGCAAGCCAGGAGUGAAAGCCCGGGGCCCAGCCCCGGGACUGCUCUUGGAACUGCGUGGCUGGAGUGCAGGAGGGGCAGGCGGAAUUCCUGGUGUAGCGGUGAAAUGCGUAGAUAUCAGGAGGAACACCGGUGGCGAAGGCGGCCUGCUGGACUGCAACUGACGUUGAGGCCCGAAAGCGUGGGGAGCAAACAGGAUUAGAUACCCUUGUAGUC
rnacentral:rRNA from 1 species